rnacentral:rRNA from 1 species
GAGUUUGAUCAUGGCUCAGGAUGAACGCUGGCGGCGUGCCUAACACAUGCAAGUCGAACGGAGAUAUUGCUUGGAAGCUUUUCGGAGUGAAAGAGAAGUAUCUUAGUGGCGGACGGGUGAGUAACGCGUGGGCAACCUGCCUCAUACAGGGGGAUAGCAUCGGGAAACUGGUGGUAAAACCGCAUAAGCGCACGAGAACGCAUGUUUUCGUGUGAAAAGGAGAAAUCUGGUAUGAGAUGGACCCGCGUCUGAUUAGCUAGUUGGAGUGGUAAAAGCACACCAAGGCAACGAUCAGUAGCCGGCCUGAGAGGGUGGACGGCCACAUUGGGACUGAGACACGGCCCAGACUCCUACGGGAGGCAGCAGUGGGGAAUAUUGCACAAUGGAGGGAACUCUGAUGCAGCGACGCCGCGUGAGUGAAGAAGUAAUUCGUUAUGUAAAGCUCUAUCAGCAGGGAAGAAAGUGACGGUACCUGAAAAAGAAGCUCCGGCUAAAUACGUGCCAGCAGCCGCGGUAAUACGUAUGGAGCAAGCGUUAUCCGGAUUUACUGGGUGUAAAGGGAGAGUAGGUGGCAGAGCAAGUCCGAAGUGAAAACCCAAAGCUCAACUAUGGGAAUGCUUUAGAAACUGCUCAGCUAGAGUGCAGGAGAGGCAAGUGGAAUUCUUAGUGUAGCGGUGAGAUGCGUAGAUAUUAGGAGGAACACCAGUGGCGAAGGCGGCUUGCUGGACUGUAACUGACACUGAGGCUCGAAAGCGUGGGGAGCAAACAGGAUUAGAUACCCUGGUAGUCCACGCUGUAAACGAUGAAUACUAGGUGUUGGGGAGCAAAAGCUCUUCGGUGCCGCAGCAAACGCAAUAAGUAUUCCACCUGGGGAGUACGUUCGCAAGAAUGAAACUCAAAGGAAUUGACGG